AUAUCUCUCUGUACGGGAAGGAUGAGAAGCUUCGACUAAGGUUCGAUUCGAGCGAAAGCGAGAAAGCGUUGCCGCAGGCAACGACC
rnacentral:sRNA from 1 species